GGGGGGGGUCUCCAUUGGUGAAAUGCAAUAUCUGAAUCUCCUUGAGGAGUAAUUUCCUGGUCCAGCUUCUGAGUGGAACAACUGUUGAAAAUGCAAAGAUCAGGCCGGCUAUACUUAAAAAGAUUAGAAAACACUGCACCGCCUCGGGGGCACGAUAAACCAAAGCAGGGAGGGGGGGGGUUCAAACCGUUCACGUGUUGAACACGGGGAAAAAGUGAAUGCGAUGAUUACAAACAAAAAGCUCUGAUUCAGACAUCUGGUUGGAGUGGAGUGUGAGGAAAGCUCACAAGGUAAUUUCUCAGAGUGCAUCCAUGUUGUGUGUCCUCUUUCAGGAGGACAUUAUAUCACCAUUAUAUCACCAUUAUAACACCACUGCAACACCAUUAUAACACCACUGCAACACCAUUAUAUCACCAUUAUAACACCAUUAUUAGGGUCUUAUAACACCACUGCAACACCAUUAUAACACCAUUAUAACACCAUUAUAACACCAUUAUAUCACCACUGUGCGAGAGACCUGAGAUCAACAUUCUGCAUGUUCACACCUGUUCUAUGUUUUAAAUGCACAUUCACAGAUCUACAGAGUUAAAUACACAUUUAUUGUUUUCUAUCAUUUAUCUGUUGACAUUUACGGCUUCGUGCACUGAUUUGAAGAUAUGAUGACACAUCGACAAUUCAGAACAUAGAUGAGUCUUUUUUACCACCUGAUUACUCACACGCGCACACACGUACUCGUGCACAGAUCUCUGGACACGUUCACGCAUCAGAUUACGCACACGCGGAUCUCUGCACCCACGCGACGGAUCUCAGUACGAGAUUCAAUUAGAGUCCAGAGACAUUUACAAAUCAGUGUUCCCCAGAGAGCAUCCCGGGAGGGAGGGAGGAGGGGAGGGAGGGAGAGAGGGAGAGAUGAAGUGAACAGACCUCACGUUGAGCUCACAUGAACCUCGGCAUCGUUUCCUGCGUUGGAUCAUUUGAGCUCCGCUAAACCGGAGGAGCACCGGAGCGCAGCGGCGGACUCCCGGUGAGCUCCGGUCCUCUGCCCGGUCCUCUCCCCGGUCCUCUGCCCGGUCCUCUCCCCGGUCCUCCGCGGAGGUUCGGUGAGCGACUACGCGACUUGACAAGUUUCGUCUCCUCCGGAGGAUGGAUUCCUGAUUCCUUCUUCUCCUUCUCCGCGGAUAAUAACGCAAGCUGCCCAGGUGAGAUAAUUCACGGGGGAAGGAAGUAGGG
ensembl:lncRNA